GACGAACGCUGGCGGCGUGCUUAACACAUGCAAGUCGAACGGAAAGGCCCUGCUUUUGUGGGGUGCUCGAGUGGCGAACGGGUGAGUAACACGUGAGUAACCUGCCCUUGACUUUGGGAUAACUUCAGGAAACUGGGGCUAAUACCGGAUAGGAGCUCCUGCUGCAUGGUGUGGGUUGGAAAGUUUCGGCGGUUGGGGAUGGACUCGCGGCUUAUCAGCUUGUUGGUGGGGUAGUGGCUUACCAAGGCUUUGACGGGUAGCCGGCCUGAGAGGGUGGCCGGCCACAAUGGGACUGCGAUACGGCGCAGAAUCGUACGGGAGGCAGCAGUGGGGAAUAUUGCAGAAUGGGCGGAAGCCUGAUGCAGAAACGCCGCGUGCGGGAUGACGGCCUUCGGGUUGUAAACCGCUUUCGCAUGUGACGAAGCGUGAGUGACGGUAAUGGGUAAAGAAGCACCGGCUAACUACGUG
rnacentral:rRNA from 1 species